rnacentral:tmRNA from 1 species
AUUGGAUUCGACUUAGAGUAGGCGGUAUUAAGUUGCAUGCAGGCGGGUAGGCCGGCCUUAACUGGUUUACAAAAUUUUAAAUGCAAACACAAAUUAUAACCUAGGUGGAUAUAUCGCUGCACCAGUAGCUAACCCUGUUAGUUGGAAUUCUGGCGUAGUGGGUAUGCCUACCAUGGCAUUUGCUGGUUAAUUCUGGCAAGGCUUUUAAUAGAGCAGGCCUCAGGCUUUAUUAAGGGCACAUUUAUGAGGCUUACCUUAAACACGCGUUCUUUGGGUUUAAGGGACAAUAAAGAGGGAUUGCCGCGUAAGCAGCCUGUUCUAUUGGCGUCUUGCGCGAAAGAUAAAUAAUAGAAAUAAGCAUGUAGUAACUUGUAUCAAAUCUUUGAGGACGCGGGUUCGAUUA